rnacentral:rRNA from 1 species
UACGUAGGGUGCGAGCGUUGUCCGGAAUUAUUGGGCGUAAAGAGCUUGUAGGCGGUUUGUCGCGUCUGCUGUGAAAUCUCAAGGCUCAACCUUGAGCUUGCAGUGGGUACGGGCAGACUAGAGUGUGGUAGGGGAGACUGGAAUUCCUGGUGUAGCGGUGAAAUGCGCAGAUAUCAGGAGGAACACCGAUGGCGAAGGCAGGUCUCCUGGGCCACUACUGACGCUGAGAAGCGAAAGCAUGGGGAGCGAACAGG